GCACUUGGCUUUGACAAGCCUGACAGAGACCUACGUACUCUGCAACACGGUAAUGGCUGGCACUGAAAUGAAAAGAGCUUGGAUAAUGAAUAAAGAAUAUUUUUGUAGCAUGACUCAUAAGUAAUACAAAGACAUCUCUGGCAAUGUCUGUACUAAUUACAGACUAGUUGCUAUGUUGUUACAAUCGUGGAUAUUAAGUGUGUGGGAUGCUGAAGUGUGUGGGCAUCCUGCUAAGCCUGAGCUCAGCUCCCUGCCACUGUAAUCCUGUCUGUCCCAGCUGGAAAGUGGGCAAUGUAUGUAGGUGCCUAAAUACGGGCUGAGGAUGACUAAAUGUGUCUUAAAUUACGUUUUUUGCUGUUUUUCCCUCUUGGUCACAAACUUUUUGAGCUGUCAGAAAAUGUGAAGAAUGUCACGUGCUGUGGAUUGAAGUGCUGAAGGUGAUGCUCCAUGUGACGCUCCCCUCAGUUUUCUGCUCUAUUGCUGACAUUCAGGUGGAUAAACCAGGAGUAUUCUGAAUGCUGCAUUCUACUGACGUGCUAGAGGCUCUUAUAUUCAAGACUUCUUUAUUCUGCUUGGGAAAUCACAUCUUUACCUGUUCCUCUGCAUAUGAGCAUCAACUUUCCCUGAACAUAAAACACACUGUAGUAGUUGUGGUCUGGCUUCUCAUGCUGCCCUUUUCCCACCAUUUGUAGGAAAUUUGUUAAUGACUGAGGGAUAAAGACAUCAAGGCGUCUGGUCUUAUCUCAGCACGCUGAGUUAAUGGGAUAAUGCCAUUCCCUGUUUCCUCUGUGGGAGAUCAUGACUGGAAAACCAGGAAGGAAACGAUGCUGCUGCUGUGUACCGGCGGCUCUGCACCAAUCUGUCUGCAGCAUAUCGAAAGGAAACUACUGCUGGUGCUUAGACUGGUGGUUGUGUGCAAUGGGUAGCAGAGAGUACUGAAAUUAUUUGAAAGAAAUCAAUGCGGAAAAGGCAGAGGAGAUCCAUCAGUGUUUUACAUGCUGUUAAAGGGAGCGGGUUGGUUCGUGGGAUGAAAAAUACCGGAACAGGGGCCAGAAGGUCAAUCUGGGGGCACAAGUGGGGAAUUAGUUGUUCUCUAUUAAGAGAUGGCAUUAGAAAAGCCACUUUUGCCUGUGACACUUGCUGACAUGGAGAAUCAUCAUAAACUCCCUAUUCCAGUUAUUGUCAAUAAAAAAAUCUCUUGAACGCCCAGGCUUAUGUCUCAACUAAGGAGACAUCUGAGAAAGGCAUAUAUCACUAGGAACGGUGCUUUGAAUUUUUGUAAUAUCCGGGAUAAUUUUAUCAGAGAAGGUUUUAUGUGGUGAUGCAUUACAUUAACCCAGCGCCGUGCAAGACAUGUGGAAAUUAGUGAUGGAUUAGAUUUCAGAAAGCUUAUGAGAAGAGUCUUGCAAGACCUUUAACCUUAAAAUCGUUCAUAGCUGAGCAAUCCAUUAAAAUAAGCAUUAAAAUAAUCCUUGGCUGGUACAGUAGUAAGAAAUAUGCUGGUGAUUAAUAGGUUUUGGUUAUUUUCUUAACAGUUUAAUACCUAGCUGCGCGGAAAAUACCCCUGAUGAUGGCUAACACAAUGCAUUACUCCAUUGGGCAAAAAAUUGGAUGUGGAGCUGAGAAACAUACAUGUCUUCAAGUCUUGCGGUGGCAGUGGUGGCAUUUCACGCUCACACACGUCCCAGCUGGGUGAGGGCUCAGUUUUACCCGUGUAGUGGUUUCCUUGGUGUCAGAACAGAUUAUCCUGCCAACGCACCGAUCUGACAGUCAUGUCUACGCUGUUUUACGGAGCCUGGCUGCCUAAUGUCACCCAGCAUAAUUUUCAGGGCUGGAAAUAGCAGCUUAAUGGUGGAAGUGCAAAUCAGAUUUUCCUGUCGGCCACUCGUCCCGCUGGCAGCAUGCAGGGCUUGCUGACUCCGCAGGGAACAAGAUCACUGUGAAAAGAUUCAUCACCAGUGACGAGUGCUGGAAUAUAUAUGUCUGCAUAGAAAACAUUGCCAACAGCCUGCAUUUUGGGCUGCUGGUGCGUGGCUUGCUGCUGCAGAAUAGGAAUUUCUCUUCCAAGUUGUUCUUUGUGGCUCCUUUCACUGUUGUUUUUAAUCAGCAGUGCUGCAUGCGGGCUGGGCAACCAAAGGGUCCUGGGCAGCGGCUGGGCAAUGUGAGUGUGCUUGGCAUCAUCGCUGCUGCCUUCUCACAGAGUAGCUCCCUGUAGGGACCACAGUCAUUCAAUUGCAAAGGCUUUUUCCUUUGCUAGAGGGGCUGUAAGAUGAGUUACAAACUCAUUCCUCUCCGGUUUUGCUGGUAGAAACUUCUUCCAUUGUCAGUGCUGUUCUGACAUGGGUCUUCAGUUUGAUGUACUUUGAAUGACACACGUACACUUGAUGCAUACUUUCAGGUCUUUUUUAAGUAAAUCUCCAACUCAUCCAACUCUUCCUGAUGCGCUACCUGAGUUUAACAGGAAAGUGCUGCUAACUCCAGUCGCUGCCUACUCAGCUCUACAGAUCUGGUGGUGUUAUUUUCCAUCACUAAUCACAAAAGCUACUUGUUUUAUCAUUGCAAGAAUUGCAUUAGCUCUGCUGACCAAGGCAGGCCAUUAACCUUGGCUGCAGCAGCUCCUGGAAUGAACACGGAGACCUUUGGUAUACAUCACACAGCAACUCUGGGAGCCUGCAUCUCCUCCCACCUUUCUCUUCCAGAUGUCAGGUGUUAGUGCAAUGUGCCAAGGUUUCACAUUAGUAAUC
rnacentral:lncRNA from 1 species